rnacentral:rRNA from 1 species
UACGUAGGGGGCAAGCGUUGUCCGGAAUCAUUGGGCGUAAAGAGCGUGUAGGCGGACUUAAAGGUCUGGUGUGAAAGCCCGGGGCUCAACCCCGGAGGGUCACUGGAAACCAUAAGUCUUGAAUCUGGAAGAGGAGAGUGGAAUUCCUGGUGUAGCGGUGGAAUGCGCAGAUAUCAGGAGGAACACCAAUGGCGAAGGCAGCUCUCUGGUACGUGAUUGACGCUGAGACGCGAAAGCGUGGGGAGCGAACAGG